rnacentral:rRNA from 1 species
GUGGGGAAUAUUGGACAAUGGGCGAAAGCCUGAUCCAGCCAUGCCGCGUGUGUGAAGAAGGUCUUCGGAUUGUAAAGCACUUUAAGUUGGGAGGAAGGGCAGUAAGUUAAUACCUUGCUGUUUUGACGUUACCGACAGAAUAAGCACCGGCUAACUUCGUGCCAGCAGCCGCGGUAAUACGAAGGGUGCAAGCGUUAAUCGGAAUUACUGGGCGUAAAGCGCGCGUAGGUGGUUUUGUAAGUUGGAGGUGAAAUCCCCGGGCUCAACCUGGGAACUGCCUCCAAAACUGCAUGACUAGAGUACGGUAGAGGGUAGUGGAAUUUCCUGUGUAGCGGUGAAAGGCGUAGAUAUAGGAAGGAACACCAGUGGCGAAGGCGACUACCUGGACUGAUACUGACACUGAGGUGCGAAAGCGUGGGGAGCAAACAGGAUUAGAUACCCGUGUAGUCC